UACGUAGGGGGCAAGCGUUGUCCGGAAUCAUUGGGCGUAAAGCGCGUGUAGGCGGCUCGGUAAGUCCGCUCUGAAAGUCCAGGGCUCAACCCUGGGAUGCGGGUGGAUACUGCCGGGCUCGAGUCCGGAAGAGGCGAGUGGAAUUCCCGGUGUAGCGGUGAAAUGCGCAGAUAUCAGGAGGAACACCCAUUGCGAAGGCAGCUCGCUGGGACGUUACUGACGCUGAGACGCGAAAGCGUGGGGAGCAAACAGG
rnacentral:rRNA from 1 species